CGCUGGCGGCGUGCCUCAGACAUGCAAGUCGAACGCGAAAGUUCCCUUCGGGGGGCAAGUAGAGUGGCGCACGGGUGAGUAACACGUAGGUAAUCUACCUUUGGAUGGGGAAUAACAACCGGAAACGGUUGCUAAUACCGCAUAAUGCAGCGGCACCUAAUGGUGACAGUUGUUAAAGCGGGGGAUCGAAAGACCUCGCGUCUGAAGAGGAGCCUGCGGCGGAUUAGCUAGUUGGUAGGGUAACGGCCUACCAAGGCUACGAUCCGUAGCCGGCCUGAGAGGGCGGUCGGCCACACUGACACUGACAUACGGGUCAGACUCCUACGGGAGGCAGCAGUCGGGAAUUUUGGGCAAUGGGCGAAAGCCUGACCCAGCAACGCCGCGUGAAGGAUGAAAUCCCUCGGGAUGUAAACUUCGCAAGAACGGGAAGAAUAAGUAGGGGACAAUACCCCCUAUGAUGACGGUACCGUUUGUAAGCUCCGGCUAACUCCGUGCCAGCAGCCGCGGUAAUACGGGGGGAGCAAGCGUUGUUCGGAUUUACUGGGCGUAAAGGGCGCGUAGGCGGCCAGUGCAAGUCAGUUGUGAAAUCUCCGAGCUUAACUCGGAAAGGUCAACUGAUACUGCUCGGCUAGAGUGCGGAAGGGGCAACUGGAAUUCUUGGUGUAGCGGUGAAAUGCGUAGAUAUCAAGAGGAACACC
rnacentral:rRNA from 1 species